rnacentral:snRNA from 1 species
GUGCUCACUUUGACAGCACAUAUAUUAAAAUUGGAAUGAUUCAGAGGAGAUUAGCAUGGCCCCUGCUCAAGGGUGACCUAAAAAUUCAUGAAAUAUUCCAUAUUUUU